rnacentral:rRNA from 1 species
CACACACACCCGCAUCCAGUCACCGCCGCCAACUCCGGCCGCCGCGUUGCCACCUCCGGCCGUGUCCCCGCGCGCCACCGCAGCCAGCCGCCUCCAUCCCGGCGCGCAGUGCUCCACCCCUGCCGGAGCUGCCGCCUAGUCGCGUGCGAGGCCUGGCCGCCGCCUGCGCUCCUUGUGGAGGAGCUCGCCUUCGAGGCCUAUCUCCUCGCUCCGCGCUGCUCUCCUCGUUCCGAAGCGCUGGCACAGCAACCCACCUCCCGUCCUCCCCUGCCUCCUCUCGUCCGGGACGGGGAUGCAGACAUGCAGUCCCUGCUCACCCGGGAUCUGGGACCCCAUGGGCCUGCGCGCCUCUAUCGUCACCAACGCCGGCUAUACACCUCCGGGACUCCGCCUCGUCACCAGCACCGACUGGGUGCACGCCUCUGCCUCGUCACCAGUGUGUGGCAGUGCUCGCGGCCAUACGCAUCCUCCCGAGCUCCGUGCAUCAACGUGGCGGCGCUCGCGACCGUGGAUGAGCCCAAGUCGUCUCCAUCUCCUGCUGCCCUUCUCCAUGGCUGAGACGUACUCCCCUCCGUUCAUGGCGCUGCCUCCAAUCAGUGCCCCCAUCCGUCCUCGACAAGGUAGCUCCACAGCCCUCCAGGUUAGCUUGCUAGUUGAUCUACACAUGUGGUGAAUUGAAGAUGCAUAUGUAUUGUGCUUUGUGCGUGCUUGAUGUUGAUUCGCGUGGAAUUUCGCUGAAUUGGAGCGACGAAGAUGCAUAUGUAUGUGUUGUGCCUUGCGCGCCUGAUGUAUGUGUGUGAAAG